GACGAACGCUGGCGGCGUGCCUAACACAUGCAAGUGGAGCGACGAACCCGGACUUGUCCGGGGGCAAAGCCGCGAACGGGUGAGUAACACGUGGAUUAUCUGCCCCAAUGACCGGGACAACCCGAGGAAACUCGGGCUAAUACCGGAUGUGCUCUUCGGAGGAAAGGAAGCUUCGGCCUCCGCAUUGGGAUGAGUCCGCGGCGCAUUAGCUAGUUGGUGGGGUAAUGGCCUACCAAGGCGACGAUGCGUAGCUGGUCUGAGAGGACGAUCAGCCACACUGGAACUGAGACACGGUCCAGACUCCCACGGGAGUCAGCAGUGGGGAAUCUUGCGCAAUGCACGAAAGUGUGACGCAGCAACGCCGCGUGCGGGAAGAAGGUCUUCGGAUCGUAAACCGCUUUCAGUUGGGACGAGGGUCAGCUGGUGAAUAGCCAGUCUGACUGACGGUACCUUCAGAAGAAGCCCCGGCUAACUACGUGCCAGCCGCCGCAGUAAGAC
rnacentral:rRNA from 1 species